GACGAACGCUGGCGGCGUGCUUAACACAUGCAAGUCGAGCGGUAAGGCCCUUCGGGUACGACGAGCGGCGAACGGGUGAGUAACACGUGGGUGACCUGCCUCUAGCUCUGGGAUAAGCCUGGGAAACUGGGUCUAAUACCGGAUAUGACUCCACGGCGCAUGUUGUGGGGUGGAAAGCCUUGUGUGGCUAGAGAUGGGCCCGCGGCCUAUCAGCUUGUUGGUGGGGUGAUGGCCACCAAGGCGACGACGGGUAGCCGGCCUGAGAGGGCGACCGGCCACACUGGGACUGAGACACGGCCCAGACUCCUACGGGAGGCAGCAGUGGGGAAUCUUGCGCAAUGGGCGAAAGCCUGACGCAGCGACGCCGCGUGAGGGAUGACGG
rnacentral:rRNA from 1 species